rnacentral:rRNA from 1 species
GACGAACGCUGGCGGCGUGCCUAAUACAUGCAAGUAGGACGCAGUUGCGAACGGGUGAGUAACGCGUAGGUAACUACAUAUUAGUGGGGGCUAACAACUGGAACCGAUAGCUAAUACCGCCUCCUAAUAGAAGGACCUGCGUUGUAUUGGGUAGUCGGUAGGGUAAUGGCCUACCUAGGCAACGUGACAUAGCCGGCCUUGGGGGGUUGUCCGCCAAACCGGGAAUGGGAAAAGGCCCAGAACCCGUCGGGGGGCAACAGGAGGGAAUCUUCGGCAAUGGGGGGAACCCGUGCCGAGCAACGGCGCGGGGGGUGAAGAGGUUUUCGGAUCGUAAAACUAUGUUGUUAAGGAAGCGGUACUUAACCAGAAAGGGACGGCUAACUACGUGCCAGCCGCCGCGGUAAUAC